rnacentral:rRNA from 1 species
GAUGAACGCUGGCGGCGUGCCUAAUACAUGCAAGUCGAGCGAACGGACGAGAAGCUUGCUUCUCUGAUGUUAGCGGCGGACGGGUGAGUAACACGUGGAUAACCUACCUAUAAGACUGGGAUAACUUCGGGAAACCGGAGCUAAUACCGGAUAAUAUUUUGAACCGCAUGGUUCAAAAGUGAAAGACGGUCUUGCUGUCACUUAUAGAUGGAUCCGCGCUGCAUUAGCUAGUUGGUAAGGUAACGGCUUACCAAGGCAACGAUGCAUAGCCGACCUGUGAGGGUGAUAGGCCACACUGGAACUGAGACACGGUCCAGACUCCUACGGGAGGCAGCAGUAGGGAAUCGUCCGCAAUGGGCGAAAGCCUGACGGAGCAACGCCGCGUGAGUGAUGAAGGUCUUCGGAUCGUAAAACUCUGUUAUUAGGGAAGAACAUAUGUGUAAGUAACUGUGCACAUCUUGACGGUACCUAAUCAGAAAGCCACGGCUAACUACGUG